CUGGCUCAGAAAACAGCCACCAUCGCCGUCACCCUGUAUUAAGGACUACUGUGUUCCAGGCGCUGUCCUAGGUGCUGCGUAUGCUUUAUUUUUUUCCUGACAGCAACGUUGAAAAGUUGUUAUUAGGAUGUGUCUGUUUCACAGAUGAGGAGACAGAGCCACAAAGAGGUUGAGUAACUUGCCCAAGACACACAGUAAUAGCAGAGCCAGGAUUCUAACCCAGGUCUCCCUGACACCAAAGCCAUGUAUGUUCUUUGCCCUCCACUGUGUAAUCUUCAACACUGCCGCAUUGAGAACAGUCCAGGGGUUUUGUGACCCCCUUCCACCACAUGGUCUUAUAGGUAAGUCUAUGGAAGGAAGGCAAGGAUAGGGGUUCCCUUUCCAACACUUUUUCAUAUGUACCUGAGAGGGCCCCAGUCCCUCAGGUCCCCGAGCACAGAGAUGGACAAGGUGGAGCUGGGUCCACCAGCCAGAGAGCCUGGAACCUUGGGGCCAGAAGGCCUUGGUGGGCCGGCGUCUGCACUGGGAUUCAAGCUCCUAGAGCGUCCAAGCAGGGAAGGCCCUAGAGAAGAGCAAGCUGCCUCCAUGGGACAGACGAGGAAACUGGCCCAGCAGGAGGACAUAAAUUGCCCAAAGCCACAGAGCUAGUUGGAGGCAUUGUGUGUGGGAGUGCGUGUGUGUACAUGAGUGUAUGUGAGAGAGAGAGAGUGUGUGUGAGAGGGGUGGCCCGUGAACAAAGGCCCACAACAAGGCUAUUUUUUAAAAUUUGUUUUAACACAAGUAGUGUAUUUGGGACAAGGUGACCCCAGGAAGGGGCUGUAGAGGAGUGGAGAAAUGAAACGCAGCAGCGAAUGAAGCCAUGGCCGGGUUCAUUAAUGAUCAAGUUACUGCUUUGGGCCACUGGGGCUCGAUCCCACUGGGGACUCAGGGAGAUGGUAUAGGGUGUGCCUUAGAGCUGUCCCGUGCCAGGGGCAGGGAAGCUGGAAUAUUUACACAGCAGCCCCAUUGUCAUUGGCCGAGUGCUGCCAUCAGGGGACGUCGGCACCCCAGCACCUCUUGCCAAGCACAUUCCAGCAAUCAAAGAAAGCCAAGGGCUGGUAUUAAAGGCGUCUAGACCCUUGAGUAGCCACCAGUUCCCUAAAGAGUCUUGAAAACCCUUUAGGGUAGAGAGAUCCUGGGCAUCAGUGCCAAGGACAAUCUGGAGGAAAGAUGAGUACACCUGUACGCUGCCUGCCGGCCCUGGACAAGGCUGUGCUGUGGUGGGAAGCGGCUCUUUCCAUGUGCUCUGGGGAAGAGAUGGCAGGUAAUACAGCAAGAGGGAUUGAAGUUAGAGCUUAAAAAGAACUUCCCGGCCGGGUGCGGUGGCUCAAGCCUGUAAUCCCAGCACUUGGGGAGACCGAGACGGGUGGAUCACGAAGUCACGAGAUCGAGACCAUCCUGGCUAACAUGGUGAAACCCCGUCUCUACUAAAAAAAAUACAAAAAAAAAAAAAAA
rnacentral:lncRNA from 1 species